rnacentral:rRNA from 1 species
CAGUCGAGGGGCAGCAUGGUCUUAGCUUGCUAAGGCUGAUGGCGACCGGCGCACGGGUGAGUAACACGUAUCCAACCUGCCGUCUACUCUUGGCCAGCCUUCUGAAAGGAAGAUUAAUCCAGGAUGGGAUCAUGAGUUCACAUGUCCGCAUGAUUAAAGGUAUUUUCCGGUAGACGAUGGGGAUGCGUUCCAUUAGAUAGUAGGCGGGGUAACGGCCCACCUAGUCAACGAUGGAUAGGGGUUCUGAGAGGAAGGUCCCCCACAUUGGAACUGAGACACGGUCCAAACUCCUACGGGAGGCAGCAGUGAGGAAUAUUUGUCAAUGGGCGAUGGCCUGAACCAGCCAAGUAGCGUGAAGGAUGACUGCCCUAUGGGUUGUAAACUUCUUUUAUAAAGGAAUAAAGUCGGGUAUGCAUACCCGUUUGCAUGUACUUUAUGAAUAAGGAUCGGCUAACUCCGUGCCAGCAGCCGCGGUAAUACGGAGGAUCCGAGCGUUAUCCGGAUUUAUUGGGUUUAAA